GGGUUGUGAGGUUAAGCGACUAAGCGUACACGGUGGAUGCCCUGGCAGUCAGAGGCGAUGAAGGGCGUGCUAAUCUGCGAUAAGCGCCGGUAAGGUGAUAUGAACCGUUAUAACCGGCGAUACCCGAAUGGGGAAACCCAGUGUGAUUCGUCACACUAUCAUUAACUGAAUCCAUAGGUUAAUGAGGCGAACCGGGGGAACUGAAACAUCUAAGUACCCCGAGGAAAAGAAAUCAACCGAGAUUCCCCCAGUAGCGGCGAGCGAACGGGGAGGAGCCCAGAGCCUGAAUCAGCAUGUGUGUUAGUGGAAGCGUCUGGAAAGUCGCGCGAU
rnacentral:rRNA from 1 species